rnacentral:rRNA from 1 species
AUUGAACGCUGGCGGCGUGCUUAACACAUGCAAGUCGAUCGGUAACGCGGGGGCAACCCUGGCGACGAGAGGCGGACGGGUGAGGAACGCUUGGGAAUCUGCCUAUCAGCGGGGGACAACACGGGGAAACUCGUGCUAAUACCGCAUACGCUCUACGGAGGAAAGCCGGGGACCGCAAGGCCUGGCACUGAUAGAGGAGCCCAAGCCGGAUUAGCUGGUUGGCGGGGUAACGGACCACCAAGGCGACGAUCCGUAGCUGGUCUGAAAGGACGAUCAGCCACACUGGGACUGAGACACGGCCCAGACUCCUACGGGAGGCAGCAGUGGGGAAUAUUGGACAAUGGGGGAAACCCUGAUCCAGCGACGCCGCGUGGGUGAAGAAGGCCUGCGGGUUGUAAAGCCCUUUCGGUAGGGACGAAAGCUCUCGACCUAACACGUCGGGAGGUUGACUUAACCUACAAAAGAAGCACCGGCUAACUCUGUGCCAGCAGCCGCCGUAAUAC